rnacentral:rRNA from 1 species
UACGGAGGAUCCGAGCGUUAUCCGGAUUUAUUGGGUUUAAAGGGUGCGCAGGCGGAAUAUUAAGUCGGCGGUGAAAGUUUGCAGCUUAACUGUAAAAUUGCCGUUGAAACUGGUUUUCUUGAGUGUAUAUGAAGUAGGCGGAAUUUGUAGUGUAGCGGUGAAAUGCAUAGAUAUUACAAGGAACUCCGAUUGCGAAGGCAGCUUACUAAAAUACAACUGACGCUCAGGCACGAAGGCGUGGGUAUCAAACAGGAUUAGAUACCCCGGUAGUCCCUGAG